ensembl:lncRNA
UCACAGAAAUUAAGAGCAGAAAUUUCUCAUAGAAAUUAAGAGCAGAGACUGUCUGCUUUUGCUUUGCCAGACCUUUCAGUCUGUUUCUUGUUCCUUUGGUUCAAGUAGUAGCACGGAGAGAAGAUGCUGCCCACUUCAUCUUGGCUGUCUUUUGAGAUUGCCCAGCCCUCAUUCCUUUGCUAAUGAGGCACCCAGUGAUAACUCACUGCUUACAUGAAAGCUGGUGUCACCAUACAGUACAUAUAUGGAUUUCGUUUUCAUUUAAAUGUGAACUCAUGAACACAGGGUUGGGGUUGACAAGAGAAUCAAGCCAGUAUUUGACUUCACAAGUGGUUAAGACCCUUCCCCACAAACCUGUGCCACCAAGGGGCCCAUCCUGGCCAGCCAAAUCACCAGUAACAUCGCCAUAACUUCACGGGUGCUCAUCAUGGCAGGAAGCAGAACAAAAGUGCUCCAAUCCUCUGAUAAUCUUCAUGGCUCACCUCUGGGCCCGCUCCAACAGCUCCACAUCUCUUCUGUGCUGGAGGCCCCCACCUCUGGGCCCGCUCCAACAGCUCCACAUCUCUUCUGUGCUGGAGGCCCCCACCUCUGGGCCUGCUCCAACAGCUCCACAUCUCUUCUGUGCUGGAGGCCCCAGACCUGGAUGCAGUACUCCAGAUGAGUCCUCAUGAGGACGGAACAGAGGAGGACAAUCACCUCCCUCUCCCUGCUGGCCACCCCUAUUUUGACACAGCCCAGGAUACUGUUGGCUUUCCAGGCUACAAGAACACACUACUGGUUUGUGUUGAGCUUUUCAUCCACCAGCACCUCCAAGUCCUUUUCCUCAAGGCUGCUCUCAGUGGGCACACAGAUAUGUGAUCAACACCGGAAUGGUAAAGACUCUGGCACUUUGCACUUCUGUUCUUGUUGCUGCCCUUAGCUUGUUUGUCUACUUGGACCACAGACUGUGCAAGUGAGGGACUUAGUCCAACAUGCGUUGGAAGAACAAAAUGUGGUGAAAGCUGAGUACUGGGAAUUUGCAAGUAGCAGUGAAGGCUGGGAACUGGAAACUUGCCGGUCACUGUUGAAAGUCGGUGAUCUGAUGAUCACUGAAGCUAAGGGCUAUCAAGAGCAUGGAAUGGCAACUGGAGAAUGAAUAGGAAGGAUCCCUUGCUUAUGUUAUGCCUGACACUGAGGAACUAAUGGAAUGCUGGGUCGUAUGACAGUACCUACAGUAUGUCAUUGUAAAAAAAAAAAAUGUUUACCAAAAAAAAAAAAAAAUCCAUUAAAAUGAUUCAAACGUUGUGUGAUGAAAAAGGUAAAGAAUUACCCUGCUUAUUUUAUAGAAAAGGUAAAGAAUGGGCUUGGUCAGUCAGUCUAGAAGUGCGUAGGUGUGGAGAAGACAC